rnacentral:rRNA from 1 species
AUGGCUCAGGAUGAACGCUGGCGGCGUGCUUAAUACAUGCAAGUCGAACGAAGCACUUCAGCAGAUCCCUUCGGGGUGAAGCCGGUUGUGACUUAGUGGCGGACGGGUGAGUAACGCGUGGGUAACCUGCCUUAUACAGGGGGAUAACAGCUGGAAACGACUGCUAAUACCCCAUAAGCGCGCGGCACCGCAUGAUGCAGUGUGAAAAAGAUUUAUCGGUAUAAGAUGGACCCGCGUCUGAUUAGUUAGUUGGCGGGGUAACGGCCCACCAAGACCGCGAUCAGUAGCCGACUUGAGAGAGUGAUCGGCCACAUUGGGACUGAGACACGGCCCAGACUCCUACGGGAGGCAGCAGUAGGGAAUAUUGCACAAUGGGGGAAACCCUGAUGCCAGCGACGCCGCGUGAGUGAUGAAGUAUUUCGGUAUGUAAAGCUCUAUCAGCAGGGAAGAUAAUGACGGUACCUGACUAAGAAGCCCCGGCUAACUACGUGCCAGCCGCCGC